GAUGAACGCUCGCUACAGGCUUAACACAUGCAAGUCGAGGGGAAACGGCAUUGAGUGCUUGCACUCUUUGGACGUCGACCGGCGCACGGGUGAGUAACGCGUAUCCAACCUUCCCAUUACUGUGGGAUAACCUGCCGAAAGGCAGACUAAUACCGCAUAGUCUUCGAUGACGGCAUCAGAUUUGAAGUAAAGAUUUAUCGGUGAUGGAUGGGGAUGCGUCUGAUUAGCUUGUUGGCGGGGUAACGGCCCACCAAGGCGACGAUCAGUAGGGGUUCUGAGAGGAAGGUCCCCCACAUUGGAACUGAGACACGGUCCAAACUCCUACGGGAGGCAGCAGUGAGGAAUAUUGGUCAAUGGACGGAAGUCUGAACCAGCCAAGUAGCGUGCAGGAUGACGGCCCUAUGGGUUGUAAACUGCUUUUGGAUGGGGAUAAAGUUAGGGACGUGUCCCUAUUUGCAGGUACCAUACGAAUAAGGACCGGCUAAUUCCGUG
rnacentral:rRNA from 1 species